GGGGAAUAUUGGACAAUGGAGGCAACCCUGAUCCAGCCACGCCGCGUGAGUGAUGAAGGCCUUCGGGUCGUAAAGCUCUGUGGCGAGGGACGAAAAAAACGGGCUUAAACUCCCGGGUUUGACGGUACCUCGUUAGCAAGCACCGGCUAACUCCGUGCCAGCAGCCGCGGUAAUACGGAGGGUGCAAACGUUGCUCGGAAUCAUUGGGCGUAAAGCGCACGUAGGCGGCUUGUCAAGUCGGAUGUGAAAUCCCUCGGCUUAACCAAGGAAGUGCAUUCGAUACUGUCAGGCUUGAGUACAGAAGAGGGUCGCGGAAUUCCCGGUGUAGAGGUGAAAUUCGUAGAUAUCGGGAGGAACAUCAGUGGCGAAGGCGGCGACCUGGGCUGAUACUGACGCUGAGGUGCGAAAGCGUGGGGAGCAAAC
rnacentral:rRNA from 1 species